rnacentral:rRNA from 1 species
CAGUCGCCGCGGGAAUACGUAGGGCGCAAGCGUUGUCCGGAAUUAUUGGGCGUAAAGAGCUCGUAGGCGGUCUGUCGCGUCUGGUGUGAAAUCCCGAGGCUCAACCUCGGGCUUGCAUCGGGUACGGGCAGACUAGAGUGCGGUAGGGGAGACUGGAAUUCCUGGUGUAGCGGUGGAAUGCGCAGAUAUCAGGAGGAACACCGAUGGCGAAGGCAGGUCUCUGGGCCGCAACUGACGCUGAGGAGCGAAAGCAUGGGGAGCGAACAGGAUUAGAUACCCGCGUAGUCCCUGUCUCUUAUAC